GCGCCCGUAGCUCAGUCGGAUAGAGCACCAGAUUCCUAAUCUGGGGGUCAGAGGUUCGAAUCCUCUCGGGCGCGCCA
rnacentral:tRNA from 2 species